UGCAGCCCCAAUCGGGCGGUA
rnacentral:snRNA from 1 species